UACGAAGGGGGCUAGCGUUGCUCGGAAUCACUGGGCGUAAAGCGUACGUAGGCGGGUCUUUAAGUCAGGGGUGAAAUCCUGGAGCUCAACUCCAGAACUGCCUUUGAUACUGAGGAUCUCGAGUCCGGGAGAGGUGAGUGGAACUCCGAGUGUAGAGGUGAAAUUCGUAGAUAUUCGGAAGAACACCAGUGGCGAAGGCGGCUCACUGGCCCGGUACUGACGCUGAGGUGCGAAAGCGUGGGGAGCAAACAGG
rnacentral:rRNA from 1 species